AAAAUCAUAAACAACAUAUAACUUUUAUCAACAAUAACAUACCAUAAACAACAUACAAGAUAGCUCAACAAAAACAAAAUCAUCAACAAUAUACAACUUUUAUCGUUGGCAAUAUACCCUAAACAAAAUAUAACUUUUAUCAACAACAACAUAACUUAAACAACAUACAACAUAGCUCAACAAAAACAAAAAAACUCAACAACAUAGAACUUUUAUCAUAAAAAACAUACCUUAAAAAACAUUGAAAUUUUAUCAUCAACAACAUACCCUAAACAACAUAAAAC
rnacentral:lncRNA from 1 species